rnacentral:lncRNA from 1 species
UUGCCUCUUUUGUUCUCCCGUUUGUCCAUAACGUUCGCUAUCACAAAGAUGUUGAGCUUUUAUAAUGCGGUAUCCUUUCCCUUUUCUUUUACCUACCACUACAAGAUUGUAGGUGAGACAGAAAUAUAGUUAAAAAUAUAGUUUCAUAAAAGUGGGGUUCCACAGUCCGAACUGUAAACGCCUAAAGAGAGAAGCAAUAGACCCGAGCAGUUCUUUGUAUUCGUUUCUCCUAGUGUUUUUUCUCUUUUUUCCUGAAAACAAUGGGAAACGCAUC